ACCUGGCUAGCUCAAUUGGUCAGAGCGUCUGACUUUUAGUAAUCAAAAGAGUUAUCAGAAGGUUGGGAGUUCGAGCCUCCCGUCGGGUG
rnacentral:tRNA from 1 species